UGGCCAGUGCUCUACCUCUACACUGACUCAUGGAUGGUAACAAAUGUUCUGGGAGGGUGGCUGGACUGAUGGAAAAAGAGCAACUGGCAGCAGAGAGGGAAACUCAUUUGGGUGACUGAACUGUGGAAAGACAUCACUGCCUGGGUAGAGAAGUUGGCUGUAAAAGUACGUGAUGUAGACUGAUGUACCUGAGAGGCAGGCUACUGAAGAACAUCACAACAUCACAACAAUGGACAGGUGGAUUGGCUGCCAACAUUAAAGUGUCUCUGGUGGAUCUGGACUGGCAACAUAAGGGUGAAUUAUUUCAGUGGGGCCAAGACACCUCAGGUCAUCAUGGAAGAGAUGCAACAGAAAUUUGGGCUUGUGAUCAAGGGAAGGACUUAACUGCAGACUUUAUCUUUCAAGUUGUCCAUAACUGUGAAAUAUGCACUGCAAUCAAGCAGGCCAAGCGGGUAAAGCCUCUAUGGAAUGAUGGAUAAUGAUUGAAAUAUAAAUAUGGGGAGGGCUGGCAGAUUGAUUGCAUCACAAUCCAAAGCAAGUGCUAUGUGCUGACAAUGGUGGAAACAACCACUGGAUGGGUGGAGAUGUACCCUGUGCGUCACACCACUGCCCAGAACACCUUCUCAGGCCUUGGAAAGCAAGUCCUGUGGUGACAUGACACCUCAGAAAGAAUUGAGUCAGACAACGGGACUCAUUUCAAAAACAGCCUCAUAAACACCUGGGACAGAGGGUAUGAGAUUGACUGAAGGGACCAAUGUGGGAAGCAGAGGGGAGCAUCUCAGAAGGGGUGCAGAAGGAGGCAUCACUAAGGGCAGAAAUCUCUAAUUAUAUAAGAGGAUAUAAAAGACAGCAACUCACAGACAUCAGAUGCAUAUUCUGUAGGUCUACACAACAGAUGGUGGUGUCUGGCAGUGUCUUUUCUUUUAAACAGAAAAAUAUUGUUAUAAAAAUAUUCAGAAUACAUUUUUAGUUACUUAACCAAAUGUGUGGAUGAAUUACUGGGAAAUGAAAGCCAUGAUGUGGUGCAGGCAGGAAUAAAAAUUUUCUAUGAAAUCUCAUCAUUUAGGACUUUUCCACUCUUAUGCUGCUUUCAGCUUUAAGACAUGAGUAUGUUCAUGUCCUUGGUACUAUCUAUUUAAAUACAUCCC